rnacentral:rRNA from 1 species
CACGCCGUAAACGAUGAGUGCUAGGUGUUGGGGGUCAAACCUCGGUGCCGCAGUUAACACAUUAAGCACUCCGCCUGGGGAGUACGUGCGCAAGCAUGAAACUCAAAGGAAUUGACGGGGACCCGCACAAGCAGCGGAGCAUGUGGUUUAAUUCGAAGCAACGCGAAGAACCUUACCAGGACUUGACAUACUAGUGCCAGUCGUAGAGAUACGAUAUUUUCUUCGGAAACACUAAUACAGGUGG